rnacentral:lncRNA from 1 species
AAUAGGACCGAAAUCCUAUGAUGUUAUCCCAUGCUAAUGUAUACAGAGCGUAGGUUCAGUGGACUUCUCGCGACGUCGCCGGCGGCGAACCGCCCACGUAUUUCAAUUAAAUUUUAGAAUAUUAGAAAUAAGGAGUGAAAAAUUAAAAAAUCCACUAAAAAACCCAACCAAACGAACCGAAUCAGAUCGGUUCGAUCGAAAUCAAUUUUUAU